rnacentral:RNase_P_RNA from 1 species
CGAGUCAGACAGACGGUUGCGGUUGACAGGUGGAUCGUCGCCUGUUCAGCUGAGGAAAGUCCGGGCUCCGUAGGGCAAGUCGCCGGGUAACGCCCGGUGCGGGUGACCGCGAGGAAAGUGCCACAGAAAAGCGAACCGCCGAUGGCUGUUUACAGCACAGGCAAGGGUGCAACGGUGGGGUAAGAGCCCACCGGCAGAGUCGAGAGGCUCUGGCCAGGUAAACCCCGACUGGUGAAAGGCAGUGGAAACAUUCAGGGCUGCCCGUCCUGUUUCCAGAUAGACCGAUUGAGCGCUGGGGAAACCCAACGCCUAGACAGAUAACCGUCCAAAACAGAAUCCGGCUUAUGGCUGGCUCGUGCC